rnacentral:rRNA from 1 species
AUUGAACGCUGGCGGCAGGCCUAACACAUGCAAGUCGGACGGUAGCACAGAGGAGCUUGCUCCUUGGGUGACGAGUGGCGGACGGGCGAGUAAUGUCUGGGGAUCUGCCCGAUAGAGGGGGAUAACCACUGGAAACGGUGGCUAAUACCGCAUAACGUCGCAAGACCAAAGAGGGGGACCUUCGGGCCUCUCACUAUCGGACGAACCCAGAUGGGAUUAGCUAGUAGGCGGGGUAAUGGCCCACCUAGGCGACGAUCCCUAGCUGGUCUGAGAGGAUGACCAGCCACACUGGAACAGAGACACGGUCCAGACUCCUACGGGAGGCAGCAGUGGGGAAUAUUGCACAAUGGGCGCAAGCCUGAUGCAGCCAUGCCGCGUGUAUGAAGAAGGCCUUCGGGUUGUAAAGUACUUUCAGCGGGGAGGAAGGCGGUGAGGUUAAUAACCUCGCCGAUUGACGUUACCCGCAGAAGAAGCACCGGCUAACUCCGUGCCAGCAGCCGCAGUAACAC